UUCAGCCCGCCUGCCACGUCAGUUUGCCUCCACCAUCCUCCCUCUCUCAUUCUCCUUCUUUUCAUUUCUCUUUGGUUCUUCACAUAAAGCGGCCGACAUGAGAAUGCCCCAUUUCCAGUUGGUAUUUGGUCACACUGAGGCCAAUGGACUCGAGUUCAUCUUUAGCAGUGCUUUGUAGUAGUAUCUUUUAGGGGUCUUUUUAUUUUGCUGGCAGAGUGGAUACGACAGAGGCCUUGGGAAGAAGACCAAGCGGGUAGCGACCUGCAGCCGCAAUGACCUCGGGGUCCUUCCUCCCAUCAGAGUCCUCCUCACCCCCCCGCCUGCCCAGUGUUCAGACUACCUGUUCAUCAGGCUACAGCUGAACAGUAGUCUGCACAUUGGUUAGGCUGGGCUGGGACGCACACACCUCCAGCCACCGUGGGUGAUGAUACCAAAUCUCUACUUCGGAUAGUCAUCAGAGCCAAAUACAGCAUCUUUGUCUUUAAGCAUUCCUGUGGGGCUGUGUCAUCUUAUAUUAGCUAACCAUAUCCCUGUGUCUCCAGUGAACAGCAGUGGGACAGAAGUCUUGCUCACCUCCUCAUCUUUGUACCAGGACAGGGACUCAGCAGUCAGGACAAACCAGUACUCCUUGGAGCCACCCUUCAUGAUGCUGAUGUUGAUGGUUAGCCAGCCUUUCCUGAUCACCUGCAUAGAUGUGGGAGAGAGAAAAGGGUGGUAGGGAGAGAGGGGUACCAGGAGGAUGGAGGAAAACAGUUUUGUCAAACAGGCUUAUGCACUGGUGACAUGAGAGCCCCUUGUGACUGACACUAAAAAUAAAAUCUUACCUGCUAGGUCACUGUAAA